GACGAACGCUGGCGGCGUGCUUAACACAUGCAAGUCGAACGGUAAGGCCCUUCAGGGUACACGAGUGGCGAACGGGUGAGUAACACGUGGGUGAUCUGCCCUGCACUUCGGGAUAAGCCUGGGAAACUGGGUCUAAUACCGGAUAGGACUCCUGGCUUCAUGGUUGGGGGUGGAAAGCUUUUGCGGUGUGGGAUGGGCCCGCGGCCUAUCAGCUUGUUGGUGGGGUAAUGGCCUACCAAGGCGACGACGGGUAGCCGGCCUGAGAGGGUGACCGGUCAAAAUGGGACUGAGCUACGGCCCAGACUACUACGGGAGGCAGCAGUGGGAAAUAUUGCACAAUGGGCGCAAGCCUGAUGCAGCGACGCCGCGUGAGGGAUGACGGCCUUCGGGUUGUAAACCUCUUUCAGCUAUGACGAAGCGCAAGUGACGGUAGUAGCAGAAGAAGGACCGGCCAACUACGUGCCAGCCGCCGCAGUAA
rnacentral:rRNA from 1 species